GCCGAUGUAGCUCAGUGGUAGAGCAGCUGUUUCGUAAACAGCAGGUCACCGGAUCGAAUCCGGUCAUCGGCUCCA
rnacentral:tRNA from 1 species